rnacentral:rRNA from 1 species
CAGCAGUAGCCGCGGGAAAACGGAGGGUGCAAGCGUUAAUCGGAAUUACUGGGCGUAAAGCGUGCGUAGGUGGUGGUUUAAGUCCGUUGUGAAAGCCCUGGGCUCAACCUGGGAAUUGCAGUGGAUACUGGAUCACUAGAGUGUGGUAGAGGAUAGUGGAAUUUCCGGUGUAGCAGUGAAGUGCGUAGAGAUCGGAAGGAACAUCUGUGGCGAAGGCGACUAUCUGGGCCAACACUGACACUGAGGCACGAAAGCGUGGGGAGCAAACAGGAUUAGAUACCCCCGUAGUCCCUGUCUCUUAUAC